ACACUUGUUCCAAUUUUUGAAUUUUUAGGGUUUUGAUUUGCCUCAGAAGCUCGGUGAUUUAUCAUCGUUUUUUUCGCAAAUUUGUGUCGGUGAUUUUGCUACAACGGAAAGUAAUGACGGUGUCUCGGGUUCUGUCGGUGACUGCAAUGACGACGUUCGUGGUUUUGUUAGGCAUUGUUUGUCCUUGUGUCAAAGCUCAAUCGUUGCCACCCGUUCCUGCUCCUUCUAACGAUGGGACAUCUAUUGACCAAGGAAUUGCUUAUGCAUUGAUGAUGGCUGCCUUGUUUCUCACUUACCUCAUUCAUCCCUUGGAUACCUUUCCUUUUAAUUUCUUUUUGUAAUUAGAUUCUGAUUUGAGCAGAAUAAAAAUGCAUUUUUUU